ACCUACGGGAGGCAGCAGUGAGGAAUAUUGGUCAACGGUCGGGAGACUGAACCAGCCAAGCCGCGUGAGGGAUGAAGGUACAGGGUAUCGUAAACCUCUUUUGUCAGGGAACAAAGGCGGGGACGUGUCCCCGGAUGAGUGUACCUGAAGAAAAAGCAUCGGCUAACUCCGUGCCAGCAGCCGCGGUAAUACGGAGGAUGCGAGCGUUAUCCGGAUUUAUUGGGUUUAAAGGGUGCGCAGGCGGUCUGUUAAGUCAGCGGUCAAAGCCCGGGGCUCAACCCCGGCCCGCCGUUGAAACUGGCAGG
rnacentral:rRNA from 1 species